GAUUCUUGCUGAAAAGGCCAACCUGACUGACUGAUCAGGGGUGGGUGUGGGGGAGUUAAAUUGUCUAAAAGGAACAGAAACUGUUGGAAGAAUUUCAAAGGUCUUUCUUUAAAAUGGAAAUCAUAUCAUAUAUUAAACCUUAGAAGAGUUGUGUGUAUGUGUGUGUGUGUGUGUGUGUGUGUGUGCACCAAGUUGUGCACAUAGAAUAUAAUUCAAUUUUAUCAGCUAUUUCCCUUUUGGUUUCAAGAGGAGGAUACAUAGGCACAUCCAAACAGCCAGCCUUUGGAUAAUCUGUAUGAUGAUAGGGUUAAAGGAGGAGCGUUGAUGGCUCUUAUGCUUCUGAAUGCCUCAUUUUACGCUUUCAGCAUAGGAGGAAGAGAGUGAAGAGUAGCAAGGGCCAUUGGUGAGUUCUCUGUGGCCAAGUGUCUCAAGGAACUAUGGCUGCUGCUGACUUGCCAAAGGGAUAUUCAUUGGCUAAGUGCUUACUGCUUUGAAUGAAUCCCAGGUCACAGUGGGAAGAUGUCUCUGCCUUCCAUGAACCAUAUUAGAUGUGGCAUUUGGCAUCGCAUCAGCAAAAACAUAUCUACUGGAGCACACUCAGAUUGGCCAAGAAAAUCCUUGGAACAUGGCUGUGGCAUGUUCACUAAAACAGACCCACAGUAACUCUAUCAGGGGUCCAUAUGGUGCGCCAAAUGUCAACUCUAAAGGGAAAAGAGCAGUGUGCAGGAGCAGCAUUGAAAGCAAAAGGGCUUGGCAAGUAGGUCUGAUUUGGGAGGUGAGGAAUAAGACCAUCUCCCACUCUUUUUUCAAGGCGACACUCAACGAUUAAAGUUAUUUAUGAGUUGAAUGUGAGAAGCGCAUAGCCAAAGCACAAAACAGAGCAGGCUUUGUUUUGAAUACAUGAUCCUUGCAAACUAAAACAUUUAUUACAGCAGUAGCUUUCAUGGACCAGAAUCUACUUCAUCAGAUACUAGGGGUGGAGGGAAAUUGUUUCCUUUGCUUUUGCAAUGAACUGACCUCAGCCAAUGCUCCUGGGCUGGUUGGAGGAUCAGAACACAACACCCACUCAGAUUGUGCACAUCUCUGCGCCAACCUUGCUUGCUGCCUCAUGCUUUCCUCCUUCCUUCUGGUAAGUCACAGCAGUGCUGGUGACAGGAGUGACAAGAAGUCAGGUAAAUGCCACAGUAUCACUGAAGCUUGGGAGACAGGUCAGCAGUACACAAACAAAACAUUUGAAGAAAGCCCUUUUCCUAAGGUGAUCCAGCCUGUUGAACUCAAGUAUCCCGGAAACAAGGCCAAUACCCAUUUCAGCAGUUCUGUUUUAUUAUAUUCUCUCUUGCAUGGUUUGCUGGUCAAAAGGCCCUUGUCUGUUACUUCAGAAUCUAAGGACACACAAAAAGAGGUUUAUAUAAAACCACAUUUGUAAUUAUGAUCUUGAUGCUCUUUAAAGCCUGCAAGACUAUAAUGAAACUCAGAUGCUCAGCUUGACAGGUAUUUGCUAUAAUGGAAUCCCAGGGGACCUGCUGACAGCUACCUGCCAUAAAAUUCAAGUCUACAUUUACCAUCAAAAAGGUUUCUCUGUCACUGUGAAUUAAUGCAUUUAGGGCAUAUAGAUAGUCUCAGUUUUGUGAAUGGGGCUCAUUCAUCUGGAAAUGAAUUAAACCUGGGAACAAAGAAUUUUCAAAGUAGCUGAGAAAUUCCACUUCAGGUACUCUCUAAGGAAAUAAAUGAGUAGUUCUACCUGCAAGCAGAAAUGACAAAUCAGCUUGGAGUGGUGCCAUUUUUCACAAGGCACAGAUGUGCCAGAAAAACUAGAGAGGGCAAAUUAAAAACAAAACAAGCCUUAACAUUUCAUUUGAAGCAGGUACUAAAAAGUGGCGAAUCCGUAUCGUGUUUUCUUACAGAAAUGGCUUUGUGGGCACACCAAUCGUUCAGUUGUGUGAUCAAAUAGCUCACUCCCAAAUCAUAAAUAUAUCACUAAUUUAGCCUGCAACAUAUGAGGAACACCCCUCUCAUGCUAGGAUCUAUUCCUAAUUGACUUUAUUUUGGAAGGUCAGCAUAUAUCUUUCUUCACACUGACCAAGAGUCAGUUUUCAUAGCCAAAAGAAUAAGAGGAAGGCAAUGAAGAUGGUCUGAAGUAUGGAAAACAAGUCCUACAAUGAAAGGAUGAAGGAACUGAGCGUGUUUAACCUGGAGAAGAGAAGAUUGAUGGGUGAUAUGAUAGCACUCUCCAUUGGAAGAAAUUUAUUGUAGUCAGGAACAGUAUGUAGGGAGGCUGAGGUUGAAGAGGCAGAACUGAAUGCAAAUGACUUUGAAGGCAAAAAAGAGUAGGGUAUUAGCAUGUUACAUUCAAUGAAUGUACCAUCUGUGCACAUGAAGAGUUGAGACAUACACUUGUCCCGCUAUUCACAUGUAAUGAUAAUCAAGUGCACAGUCUGCUACCUGUGUGCAUAGUAGCUGACUUGUGAAGGUAAAGGAGCCUUGACAGUUAAGUCCGGUCGCAGACGACUCUGGGGUUGAGGUGCUCAUCUUGCUUUACAGGCUGAGGGAGCCAGCGUUUUUUAAAAAAAUAAUAUUUAUUACUUUCCAACAAAUUGAACAUAC